UGCGGGUUGUGCCUGGGUACAGUGCUGUUU
rnacentral:piRNA from 1 species